AAUCCAAUGCUCUUUCCACCACACCACCCUUGGGAUAGAGCAGAGGGUAGA
rnacentral:pre_miRNA from 1 species